rnacentral:rRNA from 1 species
UACGUAGGGUGCAAGCGUUGUCCGGAAUUAUUGGGCGUAAAGAGCUCGUAGGCGGUUCGUCGCGUCGGCUGUGAAAACCCGAGGCUCAACCUCGGGCCUGCAGUCGAUACGGGCGGACUGGAGUUCGGCAGGGGAGACUGGAAUUCCUGGUGUAGCGGUGAAAUGCGCAGAUAUCAGGAGGAACACCGGUGGCGAAGGCGGGUCUCUGGGCCGAUACUGACGCUGAGGAGCGAAAGCGUGGGGAGCGAACAGG